UACGAAGGGGGCUAGCGUUGCUCGGAAUCACUGGGCGUAAAGGGUGCGUAGGCGGGUCUUUAAGUCAGGGGGGAAAUCCUGGAGCUCAACUCCAGAACUGCCUUUGAUACUGAAGAUCUUGAAUCCGGGAGAGGUGAGUGGAAUUCCGAGUGUAGAGGUGAAAUUCGUAGAUAUUCGGAAGAACACCAGUGGCGAAGGCGGCUCACUGGACCGGUAUUGACGCUGAGGUGCGAAAGCGUGGGGAGCAAACAGG
rnacentral:rRNA from 1 species